UACGUAGGUGGCGAGCGUUGUCCGGAUUUACUGGGCGUAAAGGGCUUGUAGGCGGUCCGUUAAGUCUGGUGUGAAAUCUCCCGGCUCAACUGGGAGGGGUCAUCGGAUACUGGCGGACUUGAGGGGGGUAGAGGAAAGCAGAAUUCCUGGUGUAGCGGUGAAAUGCGUAGAUAUCAGGAGGAAUACCAGUGGCGAAGGCGGCUUUCUGGGCCUACCCUGACGCUGAGGAGCGAAAGCGUGGGGAGCAAACCGG
rnacentral:rRNA from 1 species